rnacentral:tRNA from 1 species
GGCGCCAUGGGUAAGCAACGCACUCGUAAUGCGUAGGUCUCGGGUUCGAAUCCCGAAGGCGGCU